rnacentral:rRNA from 1 species
UGCAUAUCAAAAAAGCGGAGGAAAAGAAACCAACAGGGAUUGCCCUAGUAACGGCGAGUGAAGCGGCAACAGCUCAAAUUUGAAAGCUAGCCUUCGGGUUCGCAUUGUAAUUUGUAGAGGAUGAUUUGGGGAAGCCGCCUGUCUAAGUUCCUUGGAACAGGACGUCAUAGAGGGUGAGAAUCCCGUAUGUGACAGGAAAUGGCACCCUAUGUAAAUCUCCUUCGACGAGUCGAGUUGUUUGGGAAUGCAGCUCUAAAUGGGAGGUAAAUUUCUUCUAAAGCUAAAUAUUGGCGAGAGACCGAUAGCGCACAAGUAGAGUGAUCGAAAGAUGAAAAGCACUUUGGAAAGAGAGUUAAAAAGCACGUGAAAUUGUUGAAAGGGAAGCGCUUGCAAUCAGACUUGUUUAAACUGUUCGGCCGGUCUUCUGACCGGUUUACUCAGUUUGGACAGGCCAGCAUCAGUUUCGGCGGCCGGAUAAAGGCUCUGGGAAUGUGGCCUCCACUUCGGUGGAGGUGUUAUAGCCCAGGGUGUAAUACGGCCAGCCGGGACUGAGGUCCGCGCUCGGCUAUGAGCAUGCGGUAUUGAGAU